rnacentral:rRNA from 1 species
GACGAACCGUGCGAACGUUGUUCGGAAUCACUGGGCAUAAAGGGCGCGUAGGCGGCUUAUCAAGUCAGGGGUGAAAUCCGGCAGCUUAACUGUCGAAGUGCCUUUGAUACUGAUGAGCUCGAGGGAGGUAGGGGUGAGUGGAACUGCGAGUGUAGAGGUGAAAUUCGUAGAUAUUCGCAAGAACACCAGUGGCGAAGGCGGCUCACUGGCCCGGUACUGACGCUGAGGUGCGAAAGCGUGGGGAGCAAACAGG